CUGUCUUCGGGACAUUUUCUCCACGCACCGAGUUCCUGAUCUUGUGGUCUCUGAGAAUGGCUCAGCGUUUGUAAGCAGUGAGUUCAAGCAUUUCCCGAAGCGGAAUAACAUUAAGCAGCUACUCAUUCCGACAUACCUAAUGGAGCAGCUGAAAGAGUAGUACAGACGGUAAAAUCCAAAUUAAAAAAUAGUGCUGUUGGUGAUCUCAAGACGCAAAUAGACAGGUUUUUGUUACACUACCGUACUCAACCUCAUGCAGUCACUGGCAAGUCACCAGCCGAACUCCUGAUGGGAAGAAAGUUGAAGACGGUAUUGAACUGACCCGAGCUGCGAGAGAAGGUGGUGUUCCAACAGCUGAAACAGAAGCUCUGGAGUGCUUAGCAUGCGCGAAAUCCCCGAAUCUAGAGCCAGGCGACAUGGUAUACGCCCGGAACUUCAAGGGCCUGCUUGGGUUCCCGCUGAAGUGACAAGUCGUAGGAGCUCAUCCCCAGUCAACUUGUGCGUGGCUGACGGGACACUGUGGCAUCGUCAGACUUUCAGACUUCCUGAGGACUUCACUGAGCGCACAAUUCGCUCUCAGAAUCCUCCCCACCGGGCGGCAAGUUCUGCUAUAAACUCCCAGCAAAACAGCAUUCAUAGUGCUUCCGGCAACAGCAGGAAUGAAGAAUAAGGACGCAAACGAGGAUAUCCCAAAUGGAAUCGCAGGAGCCCCUUUUGCAGCUAAUCCGUAGACCACGGAAAGGACAAUGCUAUGGGGCAACGACAACAAAACAGGCAAGACGACGAUGAUGACGACAUGAGGCGCUUUACUGCAUGGGUUGCGCUACCCUAUAUACCGCACUACAUGUGAGUUACUAUAUGAGCGCUACGGAACACUUGGUACGUGCUUCAUGAAUGAACCUUUCUGAGCUGUAGAAAGAUCGAAAAUCCAGCGAACCAAUGAGAAGAGCCUCAAGACUAUGGAGCCAGAAGGACACACACAUAAAUGGGAUGAUGAUGUGGUGGGGAGCCAGAAGGAGGAGAGUUCGUGCAUAUAGGAAAUAUCGGCAGCUUUCCUACUGAGGCUCUCCGCGAGCUCUGUUUGAUGCAAGCCCCGUGUUUUCUGUUUGUUGGCUUUUUUAUUAUUGUUGUUGUUGUUGUUGCGCUGUGCAGCACUCCAAUGAAGUUGCGUAAGCAAAACAGCACGACGGUACGUGGUAUAGCCCGUGACAUGAAAAACCUUGUGCGCGGUUUAAUGACAUUGCGGUCCACUGGUGCAAUGAGCAACGCCUCACAUUUCUUUUAGAAUGUCUGUUCCGUUUGAAGCCCAGAGCACGCCGCAUAUUCGAGCAACAUGUCCGUGGUAAGUAGUGCCAGUGUAGCGUAAUGGUCAGCACACUUGACUGGCAAUCGAGAGGUUUACGCGGAUUCGAUUUCUGUCGCUGUCUGGCUCUUUUGACGACUGUCAUAUUUUGAAAUGUCGUGAGCGUGACACCAACCCUUUAUCAGCGGAAAUCGGGAGGUAGCACCGGUUCAUGUACUGGAACCGGUGCUGUACGUGGUUUUCCCAGACUCUGCCAGACAUGUGUCGGUAUACACUCCCCCACUAAUAAAAUAUCGCAAGCUGCGCAAUAUAUAUUGCGCAGCUUGCGAGUGGCCCAAUAUUGUCUGGAUAUCGGCGCGUACUGGUGCAAUACUGGAGCAAUAUUCGACCAGUAUUGCCGACAUCCACCGAAUAUUGAGCCAAUAUAUAUUGUGCUGCUUGGACACUUACGGUCUCUUCCCCCAUAAUGUAGCGACUUUGUGAGCCAUUUCAGAUACCUAUAGCUGCUUCGUGAAACUGCAAUGAAACCACAGCAAAAUAAACCCAUAAGUGCAGCGUAUUGCAAAUAACCCAUAUCGAAUGCCUCUCGAAGCUCGUCUCAGCUGUGUAUUUCUUCUGAAUUGCUAGAAGACUUGUCGUUAAUGAAGCUACUUGCUCUCUUCGAGAGCAGUCACUAAUUGAAUGUCUCACAAAGUGAC